GAUGAACGCUAGCGGCAGGCUUAAUACAUGCAAGUCAAGGGGGUAGCAAUACUACCGGCGCACGGGUGAGUAACACGUACAUAACAUACCAUAUACUGGGGUAUAGCUUUGGGAAACUGAAGGUAAUCCCCCAUAACAUUGCGAGAGGGCAUCUGAUUGCAAUUAAAGUUUCGACGGUAUAUGAUUGAUGUGCGUUUGAUUAGCUUGUUGGUAGGGUAACGGCCUACCAAGGCGACGAUCAAUAGCUGGCGUGAGAGCGCGACCAGCCACACUGGAACUGAGACACGGUCCAGACUCCUACGGGAGGCAGCAGUAGGGAAUAUUGGACAAUGGGCGAAAAGCCUGAUCCAGCCAUGCCGCGUGAUAGAUGAAGGCCCUCUGGGUUGUAAAUAUCUUUUAUCUGGGAAGAAACAAUCUUAUUCUUAAGAUCUUGACGGUACCAGAGGAAUAAGCACCGGCUAACUCCGUGCCAGCAGCCG
rnacentral:rRNA from 1 species